rnacentral:rRNA from 1 species
UACGGAGGAUGCAAGCGUUAUCCGGAAUGAUUGGGCGUAAAGCGUCCGCAGGUGGCGAUGUAAGUCUGCUGUUAAAGAGUGAGGCUUAACCUCAUAAAAGCAGUGGAAACUACAUCGCUAGAGUGCGUUCGGGGCAGAGGGAAUUCCUGGUGUAGCGGUGAAAUGCGUAGAGAUCAGGAAGAACACCGGUGGCGAAGGCGCUCUGCUAGGCCGCAACUGACACUGAGGGACGAAAGCUAGGGGAGCGAACGGG